rnacentral:rRNA from 1 species
UUAAGCGACUAAGCGUACACGGUGGAUGCCCUGGCAGUCAGAGGCGAUGAAGGACGUGCUAAUCUGCGAAAAGCGUCGGUAAGGUGAUAUGAACCGUUAUAGCCGGCGAUGUCCGAAUGGGGAAACCCAGUGUGAUUCGUCACACUAUCGUUAACUGAAUACAUAGGUUAACGAGGCGAACCGGGGGAACUGAAACAUCUAAGUACCCCGAGGAAAAGAAAUCAACCGAGAUUCCCCCAGUAGCGGCGAGCGAACGGGGAGCAGCCCAGAGUCUGAAUCAGCUUGUGUGUUAGUGGAACGGUCUGGAAAGUCCGACGGUACAGGGUGAUAGUCCCGUACACCAAAAUGCACAGGCUGUGAACUCGAAGAGUAGGGCGGGACACGUGGUAUCCUGUCUGAAUAUGGGGGGACCAUCCUCCAAGGCUAAAUACUCCUGACUGACCGAUAGUGAACCAGUACCGUGAGGGAAAGGCGAAAAGAACCCCGGCGAGGGGAGUGAAAAAGAACCUGAAACCGUGUACGUACAAGCAGUGGGAGCACCUUCGGGUGUGACUGCGUACCUUUUGUAUAAUGGGUCAGCGACUUAUAUUCUGUAGCAAGGUUAACCGUAUAGGGGAGCCGCAGGGAAACCGAGUCUUAACUGGGCGUUAAGUUGCAGGGUAUAGACCCGAAACCCGGUGAUCUAGCCAUGGGCAGGUUGAAGGUUGGGUAACACUAACUGGAGGACCGAACCGACUAAUGUUGAAAAAUUAGCGGAUGACUUGUGGCUGGGGGUGAAAGGCCAAUCAAACCGGGAGAUAGCUGGUUCUCCCCGAAAGCUAUUUAGGUAGCGCCUCGUGAACUCAUCUUCGGGGGUAGAGCACUGUUUCGGCUAGGGGGUCAUCCCGACUUACCAACCCGAUGCAAACUACGAAUACCGAAGAAUGUUAUCACGGGAGACACACGGCGGGUGCUAACGUCCGUCGUGAAGAGGGAAACAACCCAGACCGCCAGCUAAGGUCCCAAAGUCAUGGUUAAGUGGGAAACGAUGUGGGAAGGCACAGACAGCCAGGAUGUUGGCUUAGAAGCACCAUCAUUUAAAGAAAGCGUAAUAGCUCACUGGUCGAGUCGGCCUGCGCGGAAGAUGUAACGGGGCUAAACCAUGCACCGAAGCUGCGGCAGCGACACUAUGUGUUGUUGGGUAGGGGAGCGUUCUGUAAGCCUGCGAAGGUGACCUGUGAGGGUUGCUGGAGGUAUCAGAAGUGCGAAUGCUGACAUAAGUAACGAUAAAGCGGGUGAAAAGCCCGCUCGCCGGAAGACCAAGGGUUCCUGUCCAACGUUAAUCGGGGCAGGGUGAGUCGACCCCUAAGGCGAGGCCGAAAGGCGUAGUCGAUGGGAAACAGGUUAAUAUUCCUGUACUUGGUGUUACUGCGAAGGGGGACGGAGAAGGCUAUGUUAGCCGGGCGACGGUUGUCCCGGUUUAAGCAUGUAGGCUGAUUAUCCAGGCAAAUCCGGAUAAUCAAGGCUGAGGUGUGAUGACGAGGCACUACGGUGCUGAAGUAACAAAUGCCCUGCUUCCAGGAAAAGCCUCUAAGCAUCAGGUAACAUCAAAUCGUACCCCAAACCGACACAGGUGGUCAGGUAGAGAAUACCAAGGCGCUUGAGAGAACUCGGGUGAAGGAACUAGGCAAAAUGGUGCCGUAACUUCGGGAGAAGGCACGCUGGUGUGUAGGUGAAGUCCCUGCGGAUGGAGCUGAGACCAGUCGAAGAUACCAGCUGGCUGCAACUGUUUAUUAAAAACACAGCACUGUGCAAACACGAAAGUGGACGUAUACGGUGUGACGCCUGCCCGGUGCCGGAAGGUUAAUUGAUGGGGUUAUCCGUAAGGAGAAGCUCUUGAUCGAAGCCCCGGUAAACGGCGGCCGUAACUAUAACGGUCCUAAGGUAGCGAAAUUCCUUGUCGGGUAAGUUCCGACCUGCACGAAUGGCGUAAUGAUGGCCAGGCUGUCUCCACCCGAGACUCAGUGAAAUUGAACUCGCUGUGAAGAUGCAGUGUACCCGCGGCAAGACGGAAAGACCCCGUGAACCUUUACUAUAGCUUGACACUGAACAUUGAGCCUUGAUGUGUAGGAUAGGUGGGAGGCUUUGAAGCGUGGACGCCAGUCUGCGUGGAGCCAACCUUGAAAUACCACCCUUUAAUGUUUGAUGUUCUAACGUUGGCCCCUUAUCGGGGUUGCGGACAGUGUCUGGUGGGUAGUUUGACUGGGGCGGUCUCCUCCCAAAGCGUAACGGAGGAGCACGAAGGUUAGCUAAUCCUGGUCGGACAUCAGGAGGUUAGUGCAAUGGCAUAAGCUAGCUUGACUGCGAGCGUGACGGCGCGAGCAGGUGCGAAAGCAGGUCAUAGUGAUCCGGUGGUUCUGAAUGGAAGGGCCAUCGCUCAACGGAUAAAAGGUACUCCGGGGAUAACAGGCUGAUACCGCCCAAGAGUUCAUAUCGACGGCGGUGUUUGGCACCUCGAUGUCGGCUCAUCACAUCCUGGGCUGAAGUAGGUCCCAAGGGUAUGGCUGUUCGCCAUUUAAAGUGGUACGCGAGCUGGGUUUAGAACGUCGUGAGACAGUUCGGUCCCUAUCUGCCGUGGGCGCUGGAGAAUUGAGGGGGGCUGCUCCUAGUACGAGAGGACCGGAGUGGACGCAUCACUGGUGUUCGGGUUGUCAUGCCAAUGGCACUGCCCGGUAGCUAAAUGCGGAAGAGAUAAGUGCUGAAAGCAUCUAAGCACGAAACUUGCCCCGAGAUGAGUUCUCCCUGAGACUUUAAGUCUCCUGAAGGAACGUUAAAGACGAUGACGUUGAUAGGCCGGGUGUGUAAGCGCAGCGAUGCGUUGAGCUAACCGGUACUAAUGAACCGUGAGGCUUAACCUU